rnacentral:misc_RNA from 1 species
GUGCACGAAGCUGAAUCUGGAUGGGAGCUGUUGCGACGGUGCCGACGUCCUCGGACGCAAGCUUCUUCCCCUUUUUUCCCGUUGCUUGUGGGUGCCAAGGGCAGAGCCGCUCUGUCUACUGUCUCUUGUUGCCCUGCUCAUGUGGAACAGGCCAACCUACGCCAUCGUGCGUGCCCGGCGCGAUAGCGUGGUUCGAACUUUCUCUGCGUGCGGGACUUCGUUGGCGUCGCCUCAGCGUCGUUUUUCGUCGUGGUUCGAAGAGCAGCCCGGCGGUGGUCAGCGCAACGUAGAAGACAAGGCUGUCGCCGCAUUUGCCGUCAACGCUGACAGGCUGGAGAAGGGCAAGACGAUCAUCAACAAGAAGGCGCAUGGAAUUCCUUUCCACAUAUCUGAUGCUGAGGCGGUCGACAAUGUGUGCCGCCACCACGGGACUGCGGUUGAGAUUCACAGUGUGGAACGCUUUCUCAUGCCGUUCUGGCUCACAGAGACGUCUGCCGCUGGCACCUUCAAGGCGGAUCUCCUCCAGCACGAUCGAAUGAACAUCACCCAGCCGCACUACUUUCUGUGGCUGGAGGGGCCCCGGUACCAGUUCAACUACCCGUUUGGGGAAUACAUGCCGAUGAAUCAAGUCUCCGCGUCCUACCGGGAGCCUCUUGAGGUGGUGGAGCGCUGCCUCACCGGCACCCAUGUGCCGUCGAUGCUGCUCUCGCGAUUUGAGCUGCUGCAUGAGGUGGAAAAGAUGGAGCACCGACCCACUGUUAUCCCCUUCACCAUGUCAACUAUCACGGCCCUAUCCGUGAUAGAGCGGCGCGUCAACCGCCGCGUCGUUUUGGAUCGCAUCGACCGCGAACUCCGCAAGUUUCACGGCUCUUUUCUGAAGAGCAAUGUGAACGUGACGAGCCUGCAAAUGGUGGCGUCAAGUAUUCGGCCUGCGUUCCUGCCACUCUUCAAGCUGACAGUGUCCACCAUCUCACACUCGACGCCAGUGCCGGCGUUCAUCUGCGGCGCUACCGGCAAGGUGGUAGGGCCGGUGCUGCACGUGCAGCGCCGGAAGCGGCUGGGGCUGGCGGUCGCCGCGGCUGUUGGUACGCUGCUGAGCCUUGCGCCUCUCGUGGAGCCCGGGGUGGCCACGGCCGCUGCGUUGGCGGUUGUGGCCUCCUCUGGCUUUGUGCAGCAGGCUGUGCAGCGGGCGCGCUUUGUGCGGGAGCAGGCGCACCAGAUGGCGCAGCUAAAGUCCGUCGGCGUGCUGAACCUCGUCGCCGACAGCGCGGGUUAUCGCUGGACCCCAGAGGAGGAAGAGAAAGAAGAGUACGAGUACCGCGAGGAGCUGCGCCGUCAGGCACGCGCGAGGGACGCCUUUGAGCAGCGCGUGAAAGAGGAGGCGGCGCGCGACCGAGCCCGAGCCCAUGGCACUCACUUCGACCCGAAGAGCCGCCGCCGCACCGACUUGACGGAUGUGGACCCACGCGGCUACUACGAGCUUCUCGGGCUGAAGGGGAAAGAGUUCUCUGCCACGGCGAAGGACAUCACGAAGGCGUUCCGUGAGGCGGUGCGGAUUCAUCACCCGGACGUGCACCCGGAGGGCGAAGCGGAAAACAAGAAGCGCCACAUGCAGCGCAUCAUCGAAGCAUAUAAGAUUCUACACAACCCCAAAACGAAGAAGUCUUAUGACUCUGGCGAGAUGAGCGGCAAGUCGCAAGAGACUUCUUAGGUAUGAAGUAGGAAGAAGGGCAACGUUUGGGGCGGGGGGGCUUCAUCGAUGUGCGUCUUUAUUCUAGCACCUGCGCUGAGACCCCCUGAACUGUCGCCUUUCCGCCGGCCCCCCAUACCCGCCACCUUCCCCUUCCUCCCACGCUGCCGGCUGUUCUUUAUCUCGCUUUAUCAUCUUGUUCUCGUAUGUGUGUGUGUGUGUGUACGUGCGUUGGCGCAGUCAAGCUCAGCUAUAGGUUGAAUAAGUCGCAUUUCAGUUUUCGUUCGUGUCGGUGCACCCUCCCCUCCCCUCCUCCUUCUCCUCAGACCGCUUCCUCGAUGUCCUCGUGGACGUGUGAGCAAGGGCGCGACGUGGAGACGUCAGCGCGCACGCAUACGGAAUAAACAGCCUUCUGCUCUCUUUGGUGGAGGGGACUGUUGAUGUGCGAGAGAGAUCAUGUCGCUUUUUGAUUUUCACUGUGCCGAAGUCGCGCUUCUGAGCGCAGCACAGAUGUGGAUGCAGGAGGGAGGGGUCCGGACCUUCGAAACGAAAAAGGCACACCCGCACAAACAGCACAAGUUCUGGCUAACAAGUCUUCUCUUCCCUUCUCAUCGCCUCUUCUUUCACGAUCCACCACCCCCCCCCUCGGGUGAUGCGUGCGUGUCGGUGUUGUUCUUCUCAUCCCUUCCUCUACUGUUGGCGUGAGCCGCUCUUCACCGGUACUGUCACGCGCGCACCCACCCCAG